rnacentral:rRNA from 1 species
CCUACGGGUGGCAGCAGUGGGGAAUAUUGCACAAUGGGGGGAACCCUGAUGCAGCGACGCCGCGUGAGGGAAGAAGUAUCUCGGUACGUAAAGCUCUAUCAGCAGGGAAGAAAAUGACGGUACCUGACUAAGAAGCCGCGGCUAACUACGUGCCAGCAGCCGCGGCAAUACGUAGGGGGCAAGCGUUAUCCGGAUUUACUGGGUGUAAAGGGCGCGUAGACGGUACUGCAAGUCAGGAGUGAAAGCCCCAGGCUUAACCAGUGGACUGCUCUUGAAACUGUGGAGCUUGAGUGCGGGAGGGGCAGGCGGAAUUCCUAGUGUAGCGGUGAAAUGCGUAGAUAUUAGGAGGAACACCGGCGGCGAAGGCGGCCUGCUGGACCGUAACUGACGUUGAGGCUCGAAAGCGUGGGGAGCAAACAGGAUUAGAUACCCGAGUAGUC